UAACACGUGGCUAACCUACCCUCAGGACGGGGACAAACCCGGGAAACUGGGGCUAAUAUCCGAUAGGUGAGGAUGCCUGGAAUGGUUUCUCACUCAAAGGAUCUUGGAAACAUGCUUCCAAGUCGUCUGAGGAUGGGGCCGCGUCCGAUCAGGUUGUUGGUGAGGUAACGGCUCACCAAGCCUAUAACCGGUACGGGCCAUGAGAGUGGUAGCCCGGAGAUGGGUACUGAGACAAGGACCCAGGCCCUACGGGGCGCAGCAGUCGCGAAAACUCCGCAAUGCACGCAAGUGUGACGGGGCUACCCCGAGUGCCGUCCGCUGAGGAUGGCUUUUCCUUGGUGUAACUAGCCGGGGGAAUAAGGAGAGGGCAAGACUGGUGUCAGCCGCCGCGGUAAUACCAGCUCUCCGAGUGGUAGGGAUGAUUAUUGGGCUUAAAGCGUCCGUAGCCGGCUUAGCAAGUUUCCUGUUAAAUUCAGCGACCUAAUCGUUGAGCCGCGGGAAAUACUACUAGGCUAGGAGGCGGGAGAGGUCAACGGUACUUCCGGGGUAGGGGUGAAAUCCUAUAAUCCCGGGAGGACCACCAGUGGCGGAGGCUGUUGACUAGGAACGC
rnacentral:rRNA from 1 species